GUACGGGAGGCAGCAGUGGGGAAUAUUGCACAAUGGGGGAAACCCUGAUGCAGCGACGCCGCGUGAGUGAAGAAGUAUUUCGGUAUGUAAAGCUCUAUCAGCAGGGAAGAAAAUGACGGUACCUGACUAAGAAGCCCCGGCUAACUACGUGCCAGCAGCCGCGGUAAUACGUAGGGGGCAAGCGUUAUCCGGAUUUACUGGGUGUAAAGGGAGCGUAAGUGGUUCGGUAAGUCAGAUGUGAAAGCCCGGGGCUCAACCCCGGGACUGCAUUUGAAACUAUCGGACUGGAGUGCAGGAGAGGUAAGUGGAAUUCCUAGUGUAGCGGUGAAAUGCGUAGAUAUUAGGAGGAACACCAGUGGCGAAGGCGGCUUACUGGACUGUAACUGACACUGAGGCUCGAAAGCGUGGGGAGCAAACAGGAUUAGAUACCCCAGUAGUCG
rnacentral:rRNA from 1 species